rnacentral:tRNA from 1 species
GCCUCCGUAGCUCAGUGGAAGAGCAGCUGCCUUCUAAGCAGCGGGUCGCAGGUUCGAAUCCUGUCGGGGGUGCCG